GGGUGGGCACUAUUCAUUUUGGCGUGAGCAUUGGAGGAGAUCCAACUCCUCUUCGGGUGAGAGACCUAGAAUUGUUUUAGAAUUUUUGGGUGAGAAAAAAUACUAGUGAGAAAAGAGUUCUUCUCUGAUUUUUUCUCUACCAUCCAGCACCUCCUUUGAUCUAUCUUUGACAUUGAAAGUAUUUGAGGUAAUUGAAGAAGAGGAUCAAAUC
rnacentral:lncRNA from 1 species